UGCCAGCCGCCGCGGUAAUACGGAGGGUGCAAGCGUUAAUCGGAAUUACUGGGCGUAAAGCGAGUGUAGGCGGCAAUGUAAGUCGGAUGUGAAAGCCCUGGGCUCAACCUGGGAAUUGCAUUCGAUACUGCAUAGCUUGAAUCAGACAGAGGGAUGUGGAAUUCCGGGUGUAGCGGUGAAAUGCGUAGAUAUCCGGAGGAACACCAGUGGCGAAGGCGGCAUCCUGGGUCUAGAUUGACGCUGAGGCUCGAAAGCGUGGGGAGCAAACAGGAUUAGAUA
rnacentral:rRNA from 1 species